AGAGUUUGAUCAUGGCUCAGAUUGAACGCUGGCGGCAGGCCUAACACAUGCAUGUCGAGCGGAUGAAGAGAGCUUGCUCUCUGAUUCAGCGGCGGACGGGUGAGCAAUGCCUAGGAAUCUGCCUGGUAGUGGGGGACAACGUUUCGAAAGGAACGCUAAUACCGCAUACGUCCUGCGGGAGAAAGCAGGGGACCUUCGGGCCUUGCGCUAUCAGAUGAGCCUAGGUCGGAUUAGCUAGUUGGUGGGGUAAUUGCUCACCAAGGCGACGAUCCGUAACUGGUCUGAGAGGAUGAUCAGUCACACUGGAACUGAGACACGGUCCAGACUCCUACGGGAGGCAGCAGUGGGGAAUAUUGGACAAUGGGCGAAGGCCUGAUCCAGCCAUGCCGCGUGUGUGAAGAAGGCCUUCGGGUUGUAAAGCACUUUCAGCGAGGAAGAACGCCUUGGGAUUAAUACUCCCGAGGAAAGACAUCACUCGCAGAAGAAGCACCGGCUAACUCCGUGCCAGCAGCCGCGGUAAUACGGAGGGUGCAAGCGUUAAUCGGAAUUACUGAGCGUAAAGCGCGCGUAGGUGGCUAAGUCAGCCAGGUGUGAAAGCCCCGGGCUCAACCUGGGAACUGCAUUCAAAACUGUCAAGCUAGAGUAUGGUAGAGGGUGGUGGAAUUUCCUGUGUAGCGGUGAAAUGCGUAGAGAUCGGGAGGAAUACCAGUGGCGAAGGCGGCCUUCUGGACUGACACUGACACUGAGGUGCGAAAGCGUGGGUAGCAAACAGGAUUAGAUACCCUGGUAGUCC
rnacentral:rRNA from 1 species